AUGGCAACCGGCGCACGGGUGAGUAACGCGUAUCCAACCUGCCCUUUACUAUGGGACAGCCCGUCGAAAGGCGGAUUAAUACCGUAUGUUGUCAUGUUGAUGCAUAUUUUCAUGACCAAAGGCUUCGGCCGGUAAAGGAUGGGGAUGCGUCUGAUUAGCUUGCCGGCGGGGUAACGGCCCACCGGGGCGACGAUCAGUAGGGGUUCUGAGAGGAAGGUCCCCCACAUUGGAACUGAGACACGGUCCAAACUCCUACGGGAGGCAGCAG
rnacentral:rRNA from 1 species